rnacentral:tRNA from 1 species
GGUGCGAUAGUUCAGUUGGUUAGAAUACCGGCCUGUCACGCCGGGGGUCACGGGUUCAAGUCCCGUUCGCACCG